GUGAUCUAUAUAAUGAGUGCAUAAGGCGUAGUGUUGCCACACGUGACUCAGUCCAUCUUACGUUUAUCCUGAUUUUUUUUUUAUUUUGUAGCAAAAUAUUUACAAUGAUAUAAGGGACAAGAUGUUAAAUAUAUACUCUAAACUACCAUCUUAUACAAUCAGAUAUAUAUCAGUACUAGGGAUAUACUACUAACAUACUACAACCACUACUUGUCAACUCAUAUAGUAUCAGUACAAAUACCAGUACUGCUGCACCAGUAUAUUUAGUUUGAAAGCAAAUAAAUACCAGUGCUUUAACAUUUUAGGGAUUUUACUAUCAUUUUACCAAGUCUGUACACAGUUAAAAUAUCAGUCUUUUAACUUGGUCCUACUAUUUUCUCUAAAGUUAAAAGACUUAAUUUGUGUAUAGAUUGUGUAAUUAAUUACUUAUUGGACUAUAUUUUAACAAGCAUUCGUUAUAUUUUAGGGCUGGUUGCGUUGGUUAAGACAAAAUACAAAAUAUAUGUAUCAUGAACACUGUAGUAUUGUUAAAAAGCACUUCAAAUCGCAGCAGGUAAUUAAGGCUUUUCAAUAUUACAAAAAAAAUAAUUUUCUUUUAAGGACAUGCGCGGUGUUUAGUUGAUACGGGGUUCGCACAUCUAAAGAUUAAAUUCCGGUGGCAUGAUUUAGAAACACUUCAACAGCUGGCCCAUGUUAAAGAGAUGUCAUCUACAACCAACAGCCUGUAUGUUACCCCAAGUUGUCAUGGCGACAAUGGAAACCCGUUCUAGAGGGAUUUUUCAAACCAAUUAUUGGUUUAAGAAAAUUUCCGGUUCCAGUCGAACACACCGGGUGUGGUUAUGGGCAAAAUAACACCUGAAGGCGAGGAAUAUCUGAUUCAAGUCUUGAAAGAACAAGGAUUCCGGUUCAGUUCAUGUGUCCGUCCAAGCGUUAUUACGCAUAGGGAAUGUCAGCAGUGUCGCGAAGUGUGCGUGUGUUCGUCUGUCAAGACAGUUAAUCAUAUUAUCAGUGAUUAAGGUGCACUGUUAUAACAGCUAAGUGCAGAUUUAAAUAUCCAAAACUGUUGUUGUUAAAAUAUACGGCCAUUGCUUCUGUUAUAAAGAAACUGUUAUAAAGAAAAAGAGAACUUUUUUAUUUAACUAUGUUUUUUUUUUCAUAAGUAUUAAACGUUAAACGUAGACUUAUAUACUUUUGUUGAUUUAUUUCUUUUGGUAUUUACCUAAAAAUUUGUCUCAUUUCAAUCUAUGUGACCCGGGCAUACUAAAACCCACCUUCCCGUUCAAUAUAUAUUUGUUUUUCAAGCAGUAUAUAGUAUGAAAAAUUCCCGUAAAGAUGAUGAAUAAUUUUGUCCACAUUAAAGGUAUAUAGUGUUGUAAUGGUUGAAAAAACAAUUAUUUGCGCCAUGUAUGACUCGCUUAUGGGCGUUGUUAUAACGUUGCUAAGCAACGCUAAAAUCGAAAUAAGCGGGAAGUCUAUAGUUUAAAUAACUUAAUUACUAACUUCUUUACAGCUUAAACAUACUGAUGCAGUGAACUUAAGAUUUAAAUAUUAUUGCCGUUUUAAUUUUCCAAUUAACAACGUUAAACGUCAAAAUUUAAUUUUUCGACGUCAUUUGCUAACAAAGUGAUCAAAUAUAUGACGUUCGUUAAAUUGGUAUAUCUAAAUAACUAACCCUUUGAUUUGAAAACGGUUUUCACCGUCAUAUUCAGAAAGAAAUUCUCUACAAUAAUAUGUGAAAAACCAAAUUUCGAAAAAAAUGUCAUUAAGACCGGUUUUCUCGCGUCGUGCCUCAUAUA